AAAUUUGACCCUACACUUGUACCAUAAACUAAAAUUUCAGCACUAUAUAUGUGGAAUAAUUAACGUAAUUAUUGAAGGAUAUAUCUAAUCGUGCAUGCUGAUUUCUGAUGACUUAAGAUACUUGCACCAAGAUAUAGCCGUAUAGCUUGGCAGCCACAUCUCAUCAGUAAAUUUUGAACCACUUGGCUCAUUCGCUGCGGACAAGGGAAAGCUCUUAUUUUACUCUCAUACAGUAACUCGUGGUACAUUCUAUAAAAGGCAUGAUGGCAACGCGCCAACGCACAUAUACACGUUUGCUUUCGUGCGACUUUUACCAUUUGAGGCCAGCCCGGGGAACAUGCAACGAGUAAAACUCGUGCGCCCUGUCGUCGCCUCCUGACGAGCCGGGUAAAAAAAUCGGUCGAACCACUCCCCCCCAAAAAAUAACUGGAG
rnacentral:lncRNA from 1 species